rnacentral:lncRNA from 1 species
CUGACUGAGGCAGAGGUACAAAAGGCCAGCCCUCUUGCCCCGAAGCAGGGCUAAGUCUGUGCUGUGAUUAAUUCUCCAAAGCUUCCUGAUGGAUCAGGCGGAAGCCAGACUCCACGCGGAGAUAACAUCUUUGCUUAGCCCUUUCCCCUGCCCUACCCUGCUUCCCCCGCACUCCUUUCUCCUGAGAGUUUUCCCUCAAUAAUCAUAUCCCUUGAAUACCUGUCUUAGGCUCUACUGCUGGGGAGCCCCCCUAAGACACCCCUCAAUAGAGCAAUGGAGUCCCUUAGUAAAAUCUGUACUCCUUUACUUGGCAUUCAAGGCCCUCUAUGAUCAGAGCACCCACUUUCCUGCCUUGUCCGCCCCGUCCCCCUUCCCUUGUGCUGUGUUGGUGCAGAGCAUAGCAGAUGACUGAACUGCAUGCUGAAUCGGCAUAUGUUGCCUCAUUUCCCACCUCUGAGCCUUUUCUAUGCUCUUCCUCCCGCUGGGCCUCUCUUUGCUGCCUCCAUCCUCCAUGCACAUUGAAGCACUACCCACACUUCAAGUGAAACCUUCCUGCCCUCGAGCCAGAAGCCCCGUCUCCCUCCUUUGAUCUCCCAGAGCACCUCCUGUGUCUCUCUGAUAACACGAAUCACCUUCUGCUUGGUAACUGUAGGGUAACACCAAGUUCAACGGCACUAUUUCUGUCUCAGUUGAGGCCCCAAAGCCAGCAGGUGCCAACCAGUCCACAUCCAAAGUGAGGCGCAAGACCACCCUAGCAGGACUUACAAAGGAGGUGGCCCAGAGCUGGAACUCCCUGCCGACCCUUCACCCCCAGGCCAUCAGUGAAGCUAUUGAGCUGCUCAUCAAUCAUCUGUAACUGGGGACAGACAGACAGACGGUCGACCUGCGGAGCCAGGAGGAAGGAGUUCUUCUCAGUGACUUUUCAGAGGCACAGCACCCCCAGAGGAUCACAGAGCAGCCUGGAGGGCGUGCCACGCUCAAAGGCCCAAAGUCCUUCUCUCCAGCUUCGAGGGCAGGACAGUGAUGUUCAGGCCUCAGUUUCCCCUAGUACAGCUCUACCCCGACUUGGGCCAGCUGAAUGGGCUGCAGCUUCCUGCUAGUAGUGUUGACGCCUCAAGGAUCCUGUUUCCCCCAUCAGGCUGGCAAUCCUCUGAGGACGAGAACUUUGUCUUCUCUCUCGUUUCCUGUCUUUUCCUCACUCUAUCUGGAAUUCCCAGCUAAGAACUAUGAUCCAGAAACAACACUGCACUGGGAGUCACUGAACAAAUGUGUUAUGUUGAGUGAGCCAUGUCUUCUGGCACAAUCUGUCUUCUGGCAGAGUCUAUUUCCACUGUGGUGGAGUGAAGAGAACAGAGGUUUGCAAGCUAGAUCGGUGUCCCAUUUCAGCUCUACCACAGGCUAGCUGAGUAACCUUAGGAAAAUGUCUUAACCUCUCUGAGAUUCCAUUUCCUCAAAUGCAAAUGGAUUAUCAUAAAACCUACCUUAUGGGGUUGAUGGGAGAAUUAAAUGAGUUAACACAGAGCCAGAACUUAGAGAUACUUAAGACACAAUGCUUUCCUCUCUCCCUCCCUCCUUUCCUCUUUUCCUUUUGUCUCUGACUAUCUUGAAUUCACAGCCCUUUCCAUGGACUCUGGCCACUUUGCUGAUGGGGAAGUGAGAGAGUGGACCCCUGGGGACAAAAGAACCCUAUUGUUGGUGCUGGGUGGAUCCCUGAGUGGGGAGAGCUGGGGUGUGUGCUGAGUGGGGAUGUACCCUUGGGUGGGUGAGGCAGGGCAUUCCUGAUCGGCACAUCUUCCAUGAGGAUAAACUGGAAUGUGACACUGUAACUGUCAGACCCUGAGCGGCAGAACACGGAGGAGCCUAAAUAUUUCAUGGUCAAAUUCAUCAAUAAUGGAGAUGGAGACUAAAUUACAUAACUGUCACCUUUCUGUUAAAUAAUAUUUUCUGCAGGGGGCUGGGAGGGGGCCAUGGAGGCCUUUAUUGCAAGUCAUGAAUGAUUUAGGCCAGCAAAUAAAAGGGAUCAGAGAGAGAAGAAGGGAGAGGGAGUUUCCAGGAUCACCUAAUUCAUUGUCUGGGGCCGGCUGGAGGGAAUCUGAUGGUGUGAGGGUCUUGGGGAGAGGGGCCUGGGUACCCCUAUAGGACAGCUUUGGGGUUUGGGACAUACCCUCCAGAACAGGACAGGGUGAUUGAUGUGCUAACCUGAGUCUCGCUGUCAAGUUGUUCCUUUUACUUGGGAGAUGGACAGAAAGAAGCUCAGAGACACCCAGAAAUC